rnacentral:rRNA from 1 species
CAGUCUCAGUUCGGAUUGAAGGCUGAAAUUCGCCUUCAUGAAGCCGGAAUUGCUAGUAAUGGCAGGUCAGCAUACUGCCGUGAAUACGUUCCCGGGCCUUGUACACACCGCCCGUCACACCAUGAGAGUUGGGAAUACCCGAAGCCUGUGAGCUAACUGUAAAGAGGCAGCAGUCGAAGGUAGAAUCAAUGAUUGGGGUGAAGUCGUAACAAGGUAAC